rnacentral:rRNA from 1 species
UCCUGGCUCAGGAUGAACGCUAGCGCCAGGCUUAAUACAUGCAAGUCGUGGGGCAGCAUGACUGUAGCAAUACAGUUGAUGGCGAGCGGCAAACGGGUGCGGAACACGUACACAACCUUCCUUUUAGUGGAGAAUAGCCCAGGGAGACUUGGAUUAAUACUCCGUAACAUAUAGAAGUGGCAUCACUUUUAUAUUAUAGCUCCGGCGCUAGAAAAUGGGUGUGCGGCUGAUUAGGUAGUUGGCGGGGUAACGGCCCACCAAGCCGACGAUCAGUAACUUGUGUGAGAGCACGACCAGUCACACGGGCACUGAGACACGGGCCGGACUCCUACGGGAGGCAGCAGUAAGGAAUAUUGGUCAAUGGACGCAAGUCUGAACCAGCCAUGCUGCGUGGAGGAUGAAGGUCCUCUGGAUUGUAAACUUCUUUUAUCUGGGAAGAAAUCCAUUCUUUCUAAAAUGGUUGACGGUACCAGAUGAAUAAGCACCGGCUAACUCCGUGCCAGCAGCCGCGGUAAUACGGAGAGUGCAAGCGUUAUCCGGAUUCACUGGGUUUGAAGGGUGCGUAGGAGGGCAGGGAAGUCAGUGGUGAAAUCUCCGGGCUUAACUCGGAAACUGCCGUUGAUACUUUCUGUCUUGAAUCCCGUGGAGGUGAGCGGAAUAUGUCAUGUAGCGGUGAAAUGCUUAGAUAUUACAUAGAACACCAAUUGCGAAGGCAGCUCGCUACACGAAGAUUGACUCUGAGGCACGAAAGCGUAGGGAUCAAACAGGAUUAGAUACCCU